ACCCGCUGUCGUCUUCAUUCUGUCUCUUGCUUGAUAUUUCAACUGAGCCAAAAGUCAAAGAGUGUCAAACAGACAGAGUUCGCAAGUGGAUACGCCAACAUCAAGAGCAGAGAAGGAUAAUGGGAGCCAAUGUGUCACGUACGAUUGUCGGAGCGAUGGCAGGGGCGGUGACUGGAGGCUGUCUUGCCAUUGUAGUACUGGGGGCCUCAGUUGUGAUUCUUGCAAGCCCAAAAAUGUCACCACUGGCGCAAGCAUUCGUAAGCGCUGCACUAAGUAAAGGAAUGGAAAAAGUAACAAUCCCUGUGGGCGGAGGAGUUACAGGAGGAGCAACAGCAGGGGCAGCAGCGGCACUGGGGCAAGUAGCUGCAGGUGUCGUUCUUGUAGCUCCGGCUGUAGGAGCUUUUGGAGGAGCCAUCAUUGGAUGUGAAGCAGCAGAAGAUGCUGAUUCAAUGUAUGAUGCAAUGAGGAGAGCAAGCGAUCAAAACUUUGAGCUGGCAAAACAUAUAACUGAGAAUGUUCACCAAUUUAAAGCUGUUGCUUUUAAAACUGACAA